AAGUCGAAGGUCUGGUUCUUUUAGAUCGGAUGGGGGGAGAGACCUUACAACGCCCUUAUGUGCCCCCACAGUCAUGUCAGGAACAGGAGGAGAACCUCAUCCUGACAUGAGCAAAGUCGAAGGCUCGAUUCUUUUAGACCGGAUAGGGGGAGGAACCCUUGCAAUGGCCCUUAUGUGCCCCUGCGGCCCCAUCGGGAAUAGGAGGAGAACCCCAUCCUGACGGUGAUGAAACCCGACCGCCCG
rnacentral:lncRNA from 1 species